AUUUUUUUAAGACAAUGUUUAACUUUGGUCCAUUGUAAAUUAUCAAUUUAUCAUAGAAUUAUAUUUUGUUCAAUAGCUCUAGUACGUACACUUUGUUUUCCUGUUAAUCACUUUGAAAAUAAUUAAAACUAGAAUUCUCAAUUCAGGAUACUAUGAUUAUCUACACCUCCUCCACCAAUCAUAUGUGAUAUAAACUCAUACACACUUUCAUUUUCAUAUAUAUAAUUCAAUGAGUUAAAAGGUGGUGCACUUUCAAUGUAAAUUUAUUUUACUCAAUUAAAUCAGAACUCAUUAAUUAUUUUACCACUUCUUACAAAUAAUUUCAACAUAUAUUAAAGAGUGAAUUAACGAUGUUGCAGAAUAGUAAACUGUAAUCGGAUAUUAGUAUAAAACAAUGUUGGUGCAUGCACUUCAGACCCUAAUCCACUUGCACCCUAAGAGAUAGAUGAAGAGAUCCAUUUGAUUUAGAAAAGAAUGAAAAAAACACGGUCAGAAAAAAACACAGUUAACAUAAAUGGUGUUUUUUCUUGACCAAAAAACAUUAAUGGUGAUUUGGAUAUAUACACAUAGUAAAAGGAGAUAUAUAAUCGUUGGGGGUAAACUUAGUUUCAAAUUCCAAUCGCAGAAGAAAAUAUCAUGGGGUAUUAGGACGGAUAUGG
rnacentral:lncRNA from 1 species